GACGUAGGGGGCAAGCGUUGUCCGGAUUUAUUGGGCGUAAAGAGCGUGUAGGCGGCCGUACAGGUCAGCUGUGAAAACUCGAGGCUCAACCUCGAGACGUCGGUUGAAACCGUACGGCUAGAGUCCGGAAGAGGAGAGUGGAAUUCCCGGUGUAGCGGUGAAAUGCGUAGAUAUCGGGAAGAACACCCGUGGCGAAGGCGGCUCUCUGGGACGGUACUGACGCUGAGACGCGAAAGCGUGGGGAGCGAACAGG
rnacentral:rRNA from 1 species